rnacentral:rRNA from 1 species
AUGGUGAAUGUGAUAAUUAAUCUUCCCUUGAGGGGUGGGGUGGUUAUGUGCGACUGCUACACACCACAAGGUGUUCCAAUCCCCACCAACAAGAGUCACAAUGCUGCCAAGAUCUUCAACACCUCGAAGGUUGCAGCUGAGGAGACAUGGUAUGGAAUUGAGCAGGAGUACACUCUCCUCCAGAAGGAUGUGAACUGGCACCUUGGCUGUCCCGUUGGUGGCUACCCUGGUCCUCAGGCAAGAAAACUCUCAGCAUGCUCUCCAGCUUUCCAUGUUGGAAGAAAAGAAGAAGAUCCAGAGAAGAUCUUAGUAAUAAGAUAG